rnacentral:ribozyme from 1 species
ACCAACAAGUAAUUCAAUCCUGGGAUGAGAUUCGAAGCCUCCUGAAGAUUCCAUCCAACUCCUAUUUCGGCACGUCCACGUCGUGCAGGGUGGUAACAUGGGCCUGAUCCCAACUUUUUGAGCGGGUGACGGCUCAUGGCUAAGAAGGAAGAG